rnacentral:siRNA from 1 species
UAUUCUGGUGUCCUAGGCGUAGA